GCAAAUAUAUUUCUCAUCGACAACCAAAGAGAUUGACAGCCGGUUGUGCUAUGGACAAGUACACGAUUCGCAUCCUUGCACUAGCUCUACUGUCUCUACAUCUCGUAUGCUCUGCUACUGUUGCUCAAUGUCGAACCAUGGCUGACACGGAUAGCGAGAAGAUCAAUUUACCAAACGGGCUAUGCCAUAAGUUACCUUCGUAUCGAUGCGUCAAAGAGUGCUUCUGUUGUUUGGUAGAUGAGUGGUGCUACUCCACAAUGGAUGAGUGCGCGAUAAAGUGUAAAUGAUCCUCUUCUUCAGAAGACAUACUGGUGGCGAUGACAUUCCCUCCUUUACCUGCUCCUUAAUUUCGCAGACUAGUCAAAUUGGAUUACAUGCGUAUUUACAUGUCCCGAGAAACAAAUGAUGCCUGAUAUAUAUUUGAUUUGCAAUAAGAUCUAGUAAUACUCUAGCAAUUGUCGCUGAGUAUUUGGUUUGGCAAAAGAAUGAAAUUCCAAUAGAAUCUCUUUGUAAUUUGACAA